UUAAAAGAAAGCUCUAUCUUUAAUAACAAAAAAGUUAUGCAAAAUUUUUGAUCUAAAAAAGUACAUGUUAAUUGUAAAAAAUCGAAAUUUCGAUUUUUCUCAAAAACUAUAAUUUUUUCAAUUUUGAUAAUUAUGUGCAAGGUGCCUCUUUGCGAGGAGUACUUGGCAGUUUUUAAAUGAAAGCUUUAUCUUUAAUAACAAAAAAGUUAUGCAAAAUUUUUGAUCUAAAAAAGUACAUGUUAAUUGUAAAAAAUCGAAAUUUCGAUUUUUCUCAAAAACUAUAAUUUUUUCAAUUUUGAUAAUUAUGUGCAAGGUGCCUCUUUGCGAGGAGUACUUGGCAGUUUUUAAAUGAAA
rnacentral:lncRNA from 1 species